rnacentral:rRNA from 1 species
GACGAACGCUGGCGGCGUGCUUAACACAUGCCAGUCGAACGGAAAGGCCCUGCUUUUGUGGGGUGCUCGAGUGGCGAACGGGUGAGUAACACGUGAGUAACCUGCCCUUGACUUUGGGAUAACUUCAGGAAACUGGGGCUAAUACCGGAUAGGAGCUCCUGCUGCAUGGUGGGGGUUGGAAAGUUUCGGCGGUUGGGGAUGGACUCGCGGCUUAUCAGCUUGUUGGUGGGGUAGUGGCUUACCGAGGCUUUGACGGGUAGCCGGCCUGAGAGGGUGACCGGCGACAUUGGGACUGAGAUACGGACCAGACUCCUACGGGAGGCAGCAGUGGGGAAUAUUGCACAAUGGGCGGAAGCCUGAUGCAGCAACGCCGCGUGCGGGAUGACGGCCUUCGGGUUGUAAACCGCUUUCGCCUGUGACGAAGCGUGAGUGACGGUAAUGGGUAAAGAAGCACCGGCUAACUACGUG